AAAAACUUAGGUUAUUUAAACCAAGGGCCUUCAAAGCCCUAAAUAAGGAUAUCAGCCCUUAGUUUUUGA
rnacentral:tRNA from 1 species